UCACAGUACUGACAAAUUGACGGGCUUGAAAAAGUCGCCUGUAUGGUUUUUAUUUAAACGCUGUGAGAUUAAUUUAAGCGUCGGCUAAGCUAUGUGAUGCGAAUGUAUAUUAUAAAUCAAUUCUGUGUAACACGCAGCCUCGUUACAACU
ensembl:snoRNA snoRNA:Psi28S-3305b snoRNA:Psi28S-3305b